GGCAGCAGUAGGGAAUCUUCGGCAAUGGACGAAAGUCUGACCGAGCAACGCCGCGUGAGUGAAGAAGGUUUUCGGAUCGUAAAACUCUGUUGUUAGAGAAGAACGUUGCAUAGAGUGGAAAAUUAUGCAAGUGACGGUAUCUAACCAGAAAGGGACGGCUAACUACGUGCCAGCAGCCGCGGUAAUACGUAGGUCCCGAGCGUUGUCCGGAUUUAUUGGGCGUAAAGCGAGCGCAGGUGGUUUAAUAAGUCUGAUGUAAAAGGCAGUGGCUCAACCAUUGUGUGCAUUGGAAACUGUUAGACUUGAGUGCAGUAGAGGAGAGUGGAAUUCCAUGUGUAGCGGUGAAAUGCGUAGAUAUAUGGAGGAACACCGGUGGCGAAAGCGGCUCUCUGGACUGUCACUGACACUGAGGCUCGAAAGCGUGGGUAGCAAACAGGAUUAGAUACCCUGGUAGUCCACGCCGUAAACGAUGAGUGCUAGUUGUUUGGGGCUAUCCAGCCCUAAGUGACGCAGCAAACGCAUUAAGCACUCCGCCUGGGGAGUACGACCGCAAGGUUGAAACUCAAAUGAAUUGACGG
rnacentral:rRNA from 1 species